UACGUAGGGUGCAAGCGUUGUCCGGAAUUAUUGGGCGUAAAGAGCUCGUAGGCGGUCUGUCGCGUCUGCUGUGAAAACUCAGGGCUUAACCCUGAGCUUGCAGUGGGUACGGGCAGACUAGAGUGCGGUAGGGGAGACUGGAAUUCCUGGUGUAGCGGUGAAAUGCGUAGAGAUCGGAAAGAACACCAACGGCGAAAGCACUCUGCUGGGCCGACACUGACACUGAGAGACGAAAGCGUGGGGAGCAAACAGG
rnacentral:rRNA from 1 species